GCCGAAGUGGCGAAACUGGUAGACGCGCACGGUUGAGGGCCGUGUGGAGCGAUCCGUGCCGGUUCGAGUCCGGCCUUCGGCACCA
rnacentral:tRNA from 1 species